CCUACGGGAGGCUGCAGUGGGGAAUAUUGGACAAUGGGCGAAAGCCUGAUCCAGCCAUGCCGCGUGUGUGAAGAAGGCCUUCGGGUUGUAAAGCACUUUCAGUGGGGAAGAAAGCCUUGGGGCUAAUACCCUCGAGGAAGGACAUCACCCACAGAAGAAGCACCGGCUAACUCCGUGCCAGCAGCCGCGGUAAUACGGAGGGUGCGAGCGUUAAUCGGAAUUACUGGGCGUAAAGUGCGCGUAGGCGGUCUGAUAAGCCGGUUGUGAAAGCCCCGGGCUCAACCUGGGAACGGCAUCCGGAACUGUCAGGCUAGAGUGCAGGAGAGGAAGGUAGAAUUCCCGGUGUAGCGGUGAAAUGCGUAGAGAUCGGGAGGAAUACCAGUGGCGAAGGCGGCCUUCUGGACUGACACUGACGCUGAGGUGCGAAAGCGUGGGUAGCAAACAGGAUUAGAUACCCUGGUAGUC
rnacentral:rRNA from 1 species